CAGCUUUUUGGAUACCUUCCCUGGCAGCUGAGGAAGAGAUAUAACACAUCUGUAGGGGAAGCAGUUCCCUUCAGAGCCCCAACACAUACUACAGGCUGCCCUCCGAUUGAUUCUCCAUCCUCUUGCCUCAACCUCCCAGUCUUAGGAUAACAGACAUGUACUAUCAAGUGGCAAAACAGACUUCAGGAACCAGUGCCACAAAACGCACUGCAACCGACAUUCACUGAGAAAAGAAAUUCUACUAUGGUCCUUAGAUUUUUUUUUAAAGAUUAAUUUAUUUACUUUAUGUAUAUUGAGUACACUAUAGUUGUACAGAUAUGGUUGUGUACAAGGUUGAGCCUUCAUGUGGUUGUUGGGAAUUGAAUUUUUUUGUUUGUUUUGUUUUGUUUUGGAGAUGGUUUCUCUGUAUAGUCCUGGAGCUCACUUUGUAGACCAGGCUGGCCUUGAACUCAGAAAUCUGCCUGCCUCUGCCUCUGUGCUGGGAUUAAAGGCGUGCGCCACCCUCCGGCCCAAAGAUUUAUUAUAAAGAACACUGUAGCUGUCUUCAGACAAACCAGAAGGGGGCAUCAGAUCCCAUUACAGAUGGUUGUGAGCCACCAUGUGGUUGCUGGAAAUUAAACUCAGGACCUCUGGAAGAGCCAGUUCAGUCUACUACUUGGGAGCAACUUUUUUUUUUUUUUUUUUUUCUGGCCCGAAGAAAAUCUAAACAGCAAACUGAAAGAAAAAUUCUUUCAAACUCUCUAAAGCAGUUUUUCUCCUCAGAAACGGACUACACUGAGAAAGCGCAGCCUAGAACUAACAAGUGUGGCCCGCAAGGGUCAAACUUAGUAAAUCGCGCCUCGGUAAGCGCCGCUGGGCGUCAACCGUCGUGGGGUUUUCUCCCCGCGGAGCAUCACGGGAGGAGUGGCGAGGCGCUCCCGGGGACCCGCCUUGUGGAGAGAAACAAAGUCCACGAGCAACCGAGGGGCCUCGGUCGGACGCUUUCCGCUCUCAGAGACUCGGGCCGCUCUGGGCUGUGCUCCUGUUUCCUGGAGUCCCGGAAGACGCGCAGUGUCGCAACCUCUGCGCGCGCCAAUGGCAGGCACCGGGGGGCGGGCUCUCGGGAUUUGAAAUCCAGCGCUGUUUGUCCGUGCUGGGGAAGUGGACGAGGAAGGCGAGCGGAGCUUCAGUCUGCGGACACGCGUGGAGCCCUUGCCCGGGCCUCCGUGGGUCUGAGGCGCUGCGAGCCCUGGGUAACCACGGCCUCGUGCUGCUGCCCUCACCAAGGUUUCUCUGGACUCCUUCUGAAGUUCUGUCUGAAAUUUUGUGUUGAAUGAAUUUUCUAUAAAAAGAAUUUU
rnacentral:lncRNA from 1 species